GACGUAGGGCGCGAGCGUUGUCCGGAAUUAUUGGGCGUAAAGAGCUCGUAGGCGGCUUGUUGCGUCGACUGUGAAAACCCGCGGCUCAACCGUGUGGCUUGCAGUCGAUACGGGCAGGCUAGAGUUCGGUAGGGGAGACUGGAAUUCCUGGUGUAGCGGUGAAAUGCGCAGAUAUCAGGAGGAACACCGGUGGCGAAGGCGGGUCGCUGGGCCGAUACUGACGCUGAGGAGCGAAAGCGUGGGGAGCGAACAGG
rnacentral:rRNA from 1 species